rnacentral:lncRNA from 1 species
GGCUUCGAGCCCGUCGCGGCUGGGCCGGGCUGGUCUGGCAGGCGGGCCCAGCCGGGCAGGGCUGCUUUGCUAAUGGCGGCGGCUCUCUUUCCUUCCUUCCUCCUUUCCUCCGUCCCCCCGGUCGUGGGGAGCCCGGAGCAGGAGGCGGGCCCGCGGCCAGGUUCUGGGCCGGAGAAGGGGCGACGUUCGGGCACCCCCCGAAUGGACAAUCUUUCCUUCUGUCAACGGCAGGGGCAGGCCUAGUUUGACUCUGACAGUCCUCCCACUAAGGAAUUCCUGGUGACUGGAAGGGGGAGUGACUCAGGCCCUCAACCUCUAGCAGAGUGCCUUGGCUCCCUCCUGUCGUCCUGGGGAACCUCGGCCCCAGCCCUGCCUCCCCAGCCAGUCACAGCUCCUCCCUGGUCACCCUGAGGGAGCUCAGGGCCCGGCUGGUAGCUGGGCUGCUCUCCUUCUGUCCCCCACUCCCGUGGAGCCUGGCA